AUGAAGAAUAAUAAGGCUCCUGGCCCGGAUGGUUUCCCGGCCGAGUUUUACAAGAAAUGUUGGCACAUUAUUAAAGGAGAUCUAUUGCCUUUGUUCAAUGAUCUUUUCGCUGGUCAGCUUCACCUUUUUAAGCUGAAUUUUGGGACGAUAACACUUCUUCUCAAGAAGACAGAGGCAGUGCGGAUUGAGCAAUUUCGUCCAAUCUAUCUUCUUAAUGUGAGUUUCAAAAUUUUUACCAAGGUCGGAACGAAUAGGCUCACACAGAUUGCGCAUACUGUGGUGCAGCCUACUCAAUCUGCUUUCAUGCCGGAUAGGAACAUUCUUGAAGGGGUGGUGGUCCUGCAUGAAACGCUCCAUGAAAUUCACUCAAAAAAACUGGAUGGAGUGGUUUUUAAGGUGGAUUUCGAGAAGGCGUACGAUAAAGUCAAAUGGCUCUUUCUACAACAAGCCUUACAUAUGAAGGGUUUUGACGAAGCUUGGAGGCGCCAAGUUGAAUCUUUCACGCAAAAAGGAGUGUUGGAAUUAAAGUGA
rnacentral:rRNA from 1 species